rnacentral:rRNA from 1 species
GACGAGCGCUGGCGGCGUGCUUAACACAUGCAAGUCGAGCGGUAAGGCCCUUUCGGGGGUACACGAGCGGCGAACGGGUGAGUAACACGUGGGUGACCUGCCUCUAGCUCUGGGAUAAGCCCGGGAAACUGGGUCUAAUACUGGAUAUGACUCCAUGACGCAUGUUGUGGGGUGGAAAGCCUUGUGCGGCUAGAGAUGGGCCCGC